UACGUAGGUGGCAAGCGUUGUCCGGAAUUAUUGGGCGUAAAGCGCGCGCAGGUGGUCCUUUAAGUCUGAUGUGAAAGCCCACGGCUCAACCGUGGAGGGUCAUUGGAAACUGGGGGACUUGAGUGCAGGAGAGAAGAGUGGAAUUCCACGUGUAGCGGUGAAAUGCGUAGAGAUGUGGAGGAACACCCGUGGCGAAGGCGGCUCUCUGGAACGCAACUGACGCUGAGACGCGAAAGCGUGGGGAGCAAACAGG
rnacentral:rRNA from 1 species